GGGUUGUGAGGUUAAGCGACUAAGCGUACACGGUGGAUGCCCUGGCAGUCAGAGGCGAUGAAGGACGUGCUAAUCUGCGAAAAGCGUCGGUAAGGUGAUAUGAACCGUUACAGCCGGCGAUGUCCGAAUGGGGAAACCCAGUGCAAUUCGUUGCACUAUCGUUAACUGAAUACAUAGGUUAACGAGGCGAACCGGGGGAACUGAAACAUCUAAGUACCCCGAGGAAAAGAAAUCAACCGAGAUUCCCCCAGUAGCGGCGAGCGAACGGGGAGCAGCCCAGAGUCUGAAUCAGCUUGUGUGUUAGUGGAACGGUCUGGAAAGUCCGACGGUACAGGGUGAUAGUCCCGUACACCAAAAUGCACAGGUUGUGAACUCGAAGAGUAGGGCGGGACACGUGGUAUCCUGUCUGAAUAUGGGGGGACCAUCCUCCAAGGCUAAAUACUCCUGACUGACCGAUAGUGAACCAGUACCGUGAGGGAAAGGCGAAAAGAACCCCGGCGAGGGGAGUGAAAAAGAACCUGAAACCGUGUACGUACAAGCAGUGGGAGCACCUUCGGGUGUGACUGCGUACCUUUUGUAUAAUGGGUCAGCGACUUAUAUUCUGUAGCAAGGUUAACCGUAUAGGGGAGCCGCAGGGAAACCGAGUCUUAACUGGGCGUUAAGUUGCAGGGUAUAGACCCGAAACCCGGUGAUCUAGCCAUGGGCAGGUUGAAGGUUGGGUAACACUAACUGGAGGACCGAACCGACUAAUGUUGAAAAAUUAGCGGAUGACUUGUGGCUGGGGGUGAAAGGCCAAUCAAACCGGGAGAUAGCUGGUUCUCCCCGAAAGCUAUUUAGGUAGCGCCUCGUGAACUCAUCUUCGGGGGUAGAGCACUGUUUCGGCUAGGGGGUCAUCCCGACUUACCAACCCGAUGCAAACUACGAAUACCGAAGAAUGUUAUCACGGGAGACACACGGCGGGUGCUAACGUCCGUCGUGAAGAGGGAAACAACCCAGACCGCCAGCUAAGGUCCCAAAGUCAUGGUUAAGUGGGAAACGAUGUGGGAAGGCACAGACAGCCAGGAUGUUGGCUUAGAAGCAGCCAUCAUUUAAAGAAAGCGUAAUAGCUCACUGGUCGAGUCGGCCUGCGCGGAAGAUGUAACGGGGCUAAACCAUGCACCGAAGCUGCGGCAGCGACACUAUGUGUUGUUGGGUAGGGGAGCGUUCUGUAAGCCUGUGAAGGUGACCUGUGAGGGUUGCUGGAGGUAUCAGAAGUGCGAAUGCUGACAUAAGUAACGAUAAAGCGGGUGAAAAGCCCGCUCGCCGGAAGACCAAGGGUUCCUGUCCAACGUUAAUCGGGGCAGGGUGAGUCGACCCCUAAGGCGAGGCCGAAAGGCGUAGUCGAUGGGAAACAGGUUAAUAUUCCUGUACUUGGUGUUACUGCGAAGGGGGGACGGAGAAGGCUAUGUUAGCCGGGCGACGGUUGUCCCGGUUUAAGCAUGUAGGCUGAUUGUCCAGGCAAAUCCGGAUAAUCAAGGCUGAGGUGUGAUGACGAGGCACUACGGUGCUGAAGUAACAAAUGCCCUGCUUCCAGGAAAAGCCUCUAAGCAUCAGGUAACAUUAAAUCGUACCCCAAACCGACACAGGUGGUCAGGUAGAGAAUACCAAGGCGCUUGAGAGAACUCGGGUGAAGGAACUAGGCAAAAUGGUGCCGUAACUUCGGGAGAAGGCACGCUGGUGUGUAGGUGAAGCCCCUGCGGGUGGAGCUGAGACCAGUCGAAGAUACCAGCUGGCUGCAACUGUUUAUUAAAAACACAGCACUGUGCAAACACGAAAGUGGACGUAUACGGUGUGACGCCUGCCCGGUGCCGGAAGGUUAAUUGAUGGGGUUAUCCGUAAGGAGAAGCUCUUGAUCGAAGCCCCGGUAAACGGCGGCCGUAACUAUAACGGUCCUAAGGUAGCGAAAUUCCUUGUCGGGUAAGUUCCGACCUGCACGAAUGGCGUAAUGAUGGCCAGGCUGUCUCCACCCGAGACUCAGUGAAAUUGAACUCGCUGUGAAGAUGCAGUGUACCCGCGGCAAGACGGAAAGACCCCGUGAACCUUUACUAUAGCUUGACACUGAACAUUGAGCCUUGAUGUGUAGGAUAGGUGGGAGGCUUUGAAGCGUGGACGCCAGUCUGCGUGGAGCCAACCUUGAAAUACCACCCUUUAAUGUUUGAUGUUCUAACGUUGGCCCCUUACCGGGGUUGCGGACAGUGUCUGGUGGGUAGUUUGACUGGGGCGGUCUCCUCCCAAAGCGUAACGGAGGAGCACGAAGGUUAGCUAAUCCUGGUCGGACAUCAGGAGGUUAGUGCAAUGGCAUAAGCUAGCUUGACUGCGAGCGUGACGGCGCGAGCAGGUGCGAAAGCAGGUCAUAGUGAUCCGGUGGUUCUGAAUGGAAGGGCCAUCGCUCAACGGAUAAAAGGUACUCCGGGGAUAACAGGCUGAUACCGCCCAAGAGUUCAUAUCGACGGCGGUGUUUGGCACCUCGAUGUCGGCUCAUCACAUCCUGGGGCUGAAGUAGGUCCCAAGGGUAUGGCUGUUCGCCAUUUAAAGUGGUACGCGAGCUGGGUUUAGAACGUCGUGAGACAGUUCGGUCCCUAUCUGCCGUGGGCGCUGGAGAAUUGAGGGGGGCUGCUCCUAGUACGAGAGGACCGGAGUGGACGCAUCACUGGUGUUCGGGUUGUCAUGCCAAUGGCACUGCCCGGUAGCUAAAUGCGGAAGAGAUAAGUGCUGAAAGCAUCUAAGCACGAAACUUGCCCCGAGAUGAGUUCUCCCUGAGACUUUAAGUCUCCUGAAGGAACGUUAAAGACGAUGACGUUGAUAGGCCGGGUGUGUAAGCGCAGCGAUGCGUUGAGCUAACCGGUACUAAUGAACCGUGAGGCUUAACCUUACAACGCCGAAG
rnacentral:rRNA from 1 species